rnacentral:rRNA from 1 species
UUGGAGGGCAAGUCUGGUGCCAGCAGCCGCGGUAAUUCCAGCUCCAAUAGCGUAUAUUAAAGUUGUUGCAGUUAAAAAGCUCGUAGUUGAAUUUCGGGGUUAGUAGGCUGGUCAUGCCUCAGGUAUGUACUGGUCUCACUGAUUCCUCCUUCCUGAUGAACUGUAAUGCCAUUAAUUUGGUGUUGCAGGGAAUCUGGACUGUUACUUUGAAAAAAUUAGAGUGUUUAAAGCAGGCUAACGCUUGAAUACAUUAGCAUGGAAUAAUGAAAUAGGACGUUCGAUCCUAUUUUGUUGGUUUCUAGGAUUGACGUAAUGAUUAAUAGGGAUAGUUGGGGGCAUUAGUAUUCAAUUGUCAGAGGUGAAAUUCUUGGAUUUAUUGAAGACUAACUACUGCGAAAGCAUUUGCCAAGGAUGUUUUCAUUAAUCAAGAACGAAAGUUAGGGGAUCGAAGACGAUCAGAUACCGUCGUAGUCUUAACCAUAAACUAUGCCGACUAGGGAUCGGAUGAUGUUAAUUUUUUAAUGACUCAUUCGGCGCCUUACGGGAAAC